CCUCACAUUUCAAAGAUUUCCAAUUACAUAGUGAUUUUAACAAAUAGAUUGACUUCUUCCUAAACAGUGCUCUUACUUUCUCCUGGUUGAUGUCUUUAAAAAACACAGGUAAAGGAACAUAUUGAAAACUAUCUGGCUAAAAGCAUGCUACGAGACACGCUAUCUUACUUGUUUUUUCCUAAUGGAAUAUAAAUGAUAGGCUAUGAGUCACUCAUCACCAUUCACCAUCCUAAGCUUAGCUAUCAAAUGCUGGCAUGGAAGAAUGAGAGGCAUGUGAUGCAGAAGAAGAGGAUAUGUCAGAGAAGCUUAGAAACAAAGGGUACCCCAAGGAGCGGCAACAUUUCAGGACUUCUUGGGUGGAAGAAAGUUGGCAGAGAGAAAGUCCAUAAGUCAUCUCUCGUCCUGGGGCCCAGUCCAAGUGGAGUGUAUGUAACAGCCAGCAACUUUGGCCCUGAAUGUGGAGAGUAACCUGAAGCCACAAAUGUCUUUAAGUCAAAUAACUUCUGGACGCUAAGGAUCCCUGCUCUAAUACAAAAUGGCAAGAGAAUUAAGAACACAUCAGUGUGCUUUUACAAAAGAGAGGAAAAAUAUUACCUUUUUUACUCCUUUGGACUUCAAAUAGCAUUUUGGCAAUUUCCCUGCACUUAAGAAACCUUCCCCAUGGCACAAAACCAUGGAGCUGAACGCUUAACUGGUGGGAGGGUGGGGUGGGGUGGGGGAGAUUUGGCCAGGGUAGAUAAUCUGUCUGUGUAAUUAAUAAAGCACAUUGGCUUUUGUGCUAGGAAACCA
rnacentral:lncRNA from 12 species